rnacentral:rRNA from 1 species
UACAGAGGUCUCGAGCGUUGAUCGGAAUUAUUGGGCUUAAAGGGUGCGUAGGCGGUCCUGUCAGUGCCUUGUGAAAUCCCAUGGCUCAACCAUGGAAUUGCUCGGUAGACCACAGACUUGAGGUCGGUAGGGGUCGCUGGAACUCUAGGUAGGAGCGGGUGAAAUGCGUAGAUAUCUAGAGGAACGCCAAAGGUGAAGACAGGCGACUGGGCCGAUUCUGACGCUGAGGCACGAAAGCGUGGGUAGCGAACGG